UUCGGCGUUCAGUCCUUCGAUCCAGACCGACAACGCCAAGCUGACGCACCAACGCGGGCAGCACCAAUAGGAGACUACGGAUAUGGCCACUGGCACCGUAAAAUGGUUCAACGCAACUAAAGGCUUCGGCUUCAUCGCGCCCGACGGCGGCAGCAAAGACGUGUUUGUGCACAUCUCUGCGAUCGAGCGGGCUGGUUUGACCGGCCUUGCCGACAACCAGAAAGUGACUUUCGAUAUCGAGCCCGGCCGUGAUGGCCGCGAGUCCGCGUCGAACAUCGCACUGGCAUAAGCUGGCACAAGUCUCUGCACUUGUAGAGCAAUUGAAACGCGGUCCCAUUUGUGGGCCGCGUUUUG
rnacentral:misc_RNA from 1 species